rnacentral:rRNA from 1 species
UACGAAGGGGGCUAGCGUUGCUCGGAAUGACUGGGCGUAAAGGGCGCGUAGGCGGUUUGCACAGUCAGGCGUGAAAUUCCUGGGCUUAACCUGGGGGCUGCGCUUGAUACGUGUGGACUGGAGUGCGGAAAAGGGGUCGUGGAAUUCCCAGUGUAGAGGUGAAAUUCGUAGAUAUUGGGAAGAACACCGGUGGCGAAGGCGGGUCUCUGGACAGUUCCUGACGCUGAGGCACGAAGGCCAGGGGGAGCAAAACGGG